rnacentral:rRNA from 1 species
CCCUUAGAUGUCCUGGGCUGCACGCGCGCUACACUGAUGUGUCCAGUAAGCACCUAACCUAUUCCGAGAGGAGCGGGUAACCUUAGCAAAGCACAUCGUGAUGGGGAUAGAUUAUUGCAAUUAUUAGUCUUGAACGAGGAAUUCCUAGUAAGCACAAGUCAUCAGCUUGUGUUGAUUACGUCCCUGCCCUUUGUACACACCGCCCGUCGCUCCUACCGAUUGAAUGUUCCGGUGAGCUCUUCGGACUGCGCGGUCUGCAGUUUCUGCGUUCCGUGCGGAAUGUUGUGCAAACCUUAACAUUUAGAGGAAGGAGAAGUCGUAACA